AUUUACUAAUGUUACCACCUUUUAUAUACAGUGGCCAUCUGUCAAAAUUCAGAAAUUAAUUUUGGACACUAUAUUAUUUACUAAACUACAGACAUCAUUGGGCUUUUAAAGAGUUUCUCCACUAACAUCCUUUUGUUCCAGGACCCAAGCCAGAGUAUCACAUUGGGCUUACUUAGUUCUCCACGCCUCCAGUCUUCUCCACCAUGUGAUAGUAUCUCCGUCUUUUCAUGACCGUGACCCUGAAGAGUACAGUUACUGAAAGAAAAGAUGUCUACAGUAUACUGUUAAUAAAGUUCUAAAGUUCUGUGUCUGAAGAAGGAAACCAACUCAAGAGUUGUCUGGGGACUGCCACCUCAAGUUGGGACUUGACUUUCAGAAGAAUGGCACAGACUUUCUUUUCAAAAGAAUGAAUAGAAUUCAUAGACGGCCCCCGUAAACACCCUCCACAACUCUG
rnacentral:lncRNA from 1 species